AGAAUCAAGCUCAUGACUGAGAAUUAUCUUAAGUAUUCCACAUUCCCACAAAACCAAAAAAAUUGAGAACUGGUGAUUAGUUUUCAAGCAUCGAUGUUUUCAAUCGAAGCAAUCGCUAUAAGUUGAGAUUUCAUAAACCUGUACGAUUGAAUAUAGCAAGAACUGGGGAUCCUGAAAACUGGAAAUCCUCUGUGUAUACCUAUUAGAAUGAGUGUAUCCUUAAUGGAGCAAAAAACUUUAGAAUGUCAAGAAAAUUGAUAAAAUUCAGCCAUGGAAAAU